GCUCUGAUAAUUCAGUGGUAGAAUGGUAGGCUUUUAACCUGCUAACCUGGGUUCGAUUCCCAGUCAGGGCA
rnacentral:tRNA from 1 species